AAAGAAAAAAAAAAGUGCAAAUUAGCCAAUGCGUGCCAAACAGCAGAAGGAACUCACGCGAGGUUUUGCUUGCAGUUCCAGGCGGGAUCGUGGUUUUAAAAGCAACAGUCAAAUGCACAGUUGAAUCAAAAUGAAUUCCCCAGACGAAGAUGUCAGCGUGCGCACCUUGCUCAAAGGUGUGAUGAGUACAGAGCCGUGUCAGACUCAGGUGCGGGUAACGCGCAGAGAAUAAAAGUUGGAGAGUGGCUGUUUUAAAAGGAGAAGUGCAAGACUGCUGAAACCCCCGCGGCAUGGAGAAGUUCACUCUGGGACGGGAGAGAUCUGGAUAAAGGCAGAGGGUUGUUUCUGACAAGAUGCCCUUGAAAGUGCUGAUUGAGCGCCAUCUUCCCAUGGAAUACAGGACGCUGCUGAUACCUGUGGUUACCAGUGGGAAUCUGGCGAUUCCCAAGAUGUAACUCACUCCUGCAGAUCUCUCCACGUUGGGCUUUAUCCACAAGCUGUUAGUCACACCUGUAACAAUCAGUCCUGCUGGUGUUCAGCAGCCAAUGCUUUCUGACUUCUUAAAAAAAAAAAAAAAAAUAUAUAUAUAUAU